UUUUCGACAUCCUGAUCUUCUCAAUU
rnacentral:sRNA from 1 species